UCCGCGCGGCGACUGAGGGCCUGAGGCGAAGAUGCGGCUGCGCGCGGCCGCGGUUCGGGCGGGGUGGUUUUGUCGCUCUUGCCGUAUCGACGCCGGGGCGGAGUGAGGCGGUGCCCCGCCUCGGGUUUUCCCCCUGCUGUUGGGGGAGGGGGCGGCGAAGACCGUAAUCGUCAGCCGGCCGCGUCGUGACCCGGCGGAGGGGCUGAUCUGCGCUGACGGAUGGCUGCCCCAGCACGGCGGGAAGAUGGCCGCCGGCCGGCGCGUCGCGGUGCCUGCAGGCCUGGCUGUGUGCUGUGGGCCGGGAGGGCUGCGUGCAGCGCUCGUACCCUUCCGACUCUUUUCCUACCGUGUUUAUAUCUUACUUAUCGUUUGCUUUGUGUCAGAAGGCAUUCCGACAGAUAGACAUAACACAGGAUUCCUUCGUGCCCGCUCAAAACGGUUCUUCAGAGCACCUUACAGUCUCCUCAGAACACUCCAGCGUGCUCCAGCCACGCUGCUUUCAGUCAAAGCAAACGCUCCCUGCAGCCCACGUGCAAGGCAAGCCGUGGCUCGCCAUAGACGCUGCUGUGCGAGCAGGCACGUGGUGCUUCCCGCUCUCUGUGCCCCCUGUGAAAUACCUGGGGCUCCACAAAUAACUGGCUCCAACCACGCAGCACCUGAUGCAGUGCAAUGCCCUUGCGUGCUGGGAGCAGGGAACCUCCUGUCCGUGGUCACGAGCCAGCACAUAGCUCUGAGGGCACGGCCGGGCUCUGGCUGCAGCGCUGCGCUGCACUGUGGGAGUUGUAGUUUCCCAGGGCUGCCAGGGAAACGCAGGCUUUGCUGCGGUGCAGGAGGAACAGUCAGUGAGGAAGUUUCCUUGGCCCAGCAAGGAGAGCUGGGGGAAGAUGAGUGAAUGUGUGUUAGAGCAAGGGAGGAGGAUGACUUUGCUAGGCACUCUUGCAAGGGCAGCCUGGCCAGGAACGAGCAGUGAGGCAGCAGUGAGGAGCAUUCUCCAGCAGAAGGCCUGGCAGCACGUGGUGACUGCUGGCCUCCUAGGAGAGGACUUGGGUCUCACGUGUAGCUGAGAUGAGGGUGACAGUGGAUUCCAGUGACAAGGACCACUGAGACUAAGAACAUCUUGCUUAUGGGUUGUGCUAUGCCACUCCAUUUGAGUAGAAGGGAGUAUCCAUGCCUGUGCACAUUUUUUUACCUUGCUCCAUAGGUGACCAGAAAUGCCCCUGUCAACUUUGGAGGGCUUUCCAGAUGCCAUCUGUAAGAUCUGAGAUCAGAAGCUAACACGUAUAGUUUGGUGUAGGAGAGGGCAUGGCUCUCCUGGAUUUUGUGUGCCAUACAUCUGUUUUUCUGAAUAUUUCUAAGGAGUUGCAUAAUGUUGGCAACUCUGAAAUAAACAGUUGGUUACUGCAAUACAGUGUAGUGUUAGUCAUGAUUUAUGAAGCAUACAGUCCUGACAUUUGGCUAUGACUGAUGCCCAUUCAAUAUAAACCAAGCAGGGAGAUACGUUACGUAAUCCUGGGUAAAAAUACAGCAGUCAGAUUUCCUGGUUUAAUUCAGAGAAACCUGGCUACAUGCAUUUCUCAGUACCUACAGCUGGUAGAAAUUCCUGAUAGAAAUAGAUAUAAAGAGGGAUAUUUUCCUUUCUGCUUGUAUAACACCAACUACUACUGAUUGACAUUGGAGUUGUACUGAAACAAUCUCUGGGACUGCAGUGUGAAGAGGCUUGAGAACUGGGAUAUUGAAUUUUUCCUGCAUAUUAUCAGAUCGUUUUUAAUUACAUGUAGUCCAUAAAAUUAGAAAUUGUCACUUUUUAAUAGGAUUGGUUGAAUAAUUUUAAUGUGGUCUACUAACAUUUUUAUGCCAUAUGAAUAUAAAAAGGGAGCUAGAGACCUGGGAAGAAGUCACGCAUUUUCUGGGACUAGAAGAAUAAUGCAGCAAAGAAGUUCUUGAUAACGAAGGCAAAAUUGAUUGACUUUUCUCAGGUUAAUUGUCGAGGAGGCAGCAAAGGAGAGAAGAGAAAGGAACAGCACAGUAUAUAAACGUACACUGUUGCACCCAACCACUCUUCUCCCUGAUGCCUCCUGAGAAGCACAGUGCCUAUAUCUUCUGGGCAAUACUGAGUUAUUAAAGAAUUGUUCUUCCCUGUAAAUUAAAAACAAAUUCCAUGCUGAUCCAUCAUGACCUCCUACCCUAAGUAGCCUGGAACAAAUGCAGCUGUGCUGGUAUUGGGUGCUUUUAGGUCAUUUGUCUUGGCUAGAGUCAAAUGCAAAAAGACUAGAAGAUCAAUGGCUGAUGCACAACAAAUGUGGCAUCUGAGUAAUCUUGGUGUUUUGCCUCUUAAUUUCCCCCAUGGGAAUGCUGUAGUGAUGAGAGCAGCAUGGCAUCCUGACUGAGGUCUCUGGGGAGAUAAUUACUGGAGCAUGAUGAGGGUAUGCUAAUUGUAGAAUGCUCUGAAGACUUGUUUUAUUCCCUUAGCAGACUCUUACUGGGAGUUGAAUUUAAUGAUAAAUAAUGGAAAACAUCUUUUUAAAUAUGAAAAUAUGAAACUGGGGGAGAAGGAGAGUUUAUUGAAUAAUAAAUACUCAAGAUAUGCAGCAUUUGUUAAUAUUUGAGUAUUUAGAUGGUUGACUAUUGACAUGAAAAUGUUUUCUCAGAGCUGUGGCUACAUCAGAGAAAAUUUCUCAUGUACAAGAGAACUCUUGUGGUGUUAGAUAUUGGGGGAACUGAAGAGAGCAUGUAUUCAUUUCACCAAAGCAUAAAAAAAAAGCUCUGAGUAUUUUUAUUUCUAUUCACUAUUUGUCCUUUGGACUCAGACUGUAGAUGUGUCAUUCCCCCCUCCCCUCCCCACCAAAAAAAAAAAAGUAAUCAGGGAAGGAAAUUGCUCAGCUGAAAAUUGUAAUGUUUCUCAGGCAAAAGUUUUCAGUGCAAGUAAACCUGAAGUAAGUGUGAGAAACAAGGAGCAGGUAUUUCUGGGAAGGCUGGCUUACAAAGACCGUGGCACACUGACUGUUGGUACCAGAUAAUCAAGACAGUUUAACUUGUUAUUGAUGCAGUCAGCUGGGCUUUAUUUAUAUUGACUUGAUACUACUGUUCCUCUCUGAAGAAGCUGAAGAAGUGGAAAACCUGGGAGGCAGGAAAGAAAGGAAAUAGAAUGAAGGUAUUUAUUUUCUAGUUUGUGUCCCUAGGUAAAAGAAUGUCUUCAACACACAUAAUCCAAACACAGAGGUGGAUAAGCACUGCCUAAAAGCUACCUGAGUGGCAUUUUGCAUGUUAAAGUGUUAAUAACCUCGAAGACAAAGAAUACUACAAUGGUGUCUGCAUCCCUUCUGUGAUUUCCUGUGGGCACAUCAGUAAUAGCUCUUUUAAAACUGAUCAAAAUGCAGUCUUGUAAAAGCAACUUGCCACUAUGUGACUAAAAUUUGGUCAAUUUAUUUUUGCCUAAAAUAGAUAUUCUUGAAUGUUGGCCUCAGAAGCCUGCUCAGUAUGAGAAGGAAAGCAGAAAGUUCUCAAAACCUCAUGUCAGGGCUCUGUUUUCAGUAUGAUUGAACAACUGUUCCCUUGAAAUAAGCGGUGCUUCUAGCAUGGCAAAAUAAAGCACAUGGUGAAUGUGCAGUUGUUCUGCUCAUGACUUAGAGCAGCUUGAUCUUUUUUCCUGCCAUAAGAACUGCUCGGAAAGAAGAACUCUGCUUAUCAAGAGCACUUCUCUGAAGAGUGUUUUUCCCCCAGAUUCAAAUUUCCAGUGAAUCAUCAGAAAUGAAAAUAAUUUCUACAUAGCAAAUUAAUUAAUAUUCAAGAAUGAGAUCCUGUUGUUUGCUGUACGCAAGUGCAAGAGCUGAUCUUUGCUCUGAAGGACUAGCAAUUAAAGCACAAAGGAAGAAAACAGCCAGUAUCGUAUUUUCAUGAUGCAGGAUAAAUGAGCAGAUAAUAGAACAACUUUGUUAGUCUACGCAUAAGCAGUAUUUCUGUUGUCAGUAGAAAGAAAGAUUGAUUUCAAAGCUGAAUUCGGUCUGGGACCAUUUAUUAUGAUUGCCAUAAUUGUGGCCCAAUCUAGAUGUUUUUACCUCAAAUUCAAUCCCAAAUCUAGGCCCAAGGUUGCAGAUUCAGUCCCUGAGGAGAAACAAUGUCCAAUAAUCUGUGAUUACUGCAGGUCAAAGUCUGACUGUAAAGCAUCAUAAUCACUCAGUGCAGAUAUAUGACUGGCCUAUAAAACAAAAAGACUAUGGAAUAAAUGAAAGAUUGGAUAAAGCCAUUGUGGGCCAUCUGAGUGGAGUUUCCUUUGCUCAUAGAGCACAUGGCUUGCUCCAUUGACUUCAUGAGACAGGAAGCCAAGGCUUUUAAAAAUCCCUAAUAGGAUAUAAAUGAAAGCAGGAGUUCUCCAUGAGAUCUUGUAGUGCGAUGCUGGGAUGUUUGGCAGUACCUAAAUUGCUGCUGCUGGCAGGCACUUCACCACUUACUGUCACUCAUUAGCUGAAGGAGCUGCAGAAUGCCAAAGGUCUGCAGCAGGUUGCCUGCAUGCUCCUAUAGGCAGUUAUGAAUCACUGCAGCGUUUAGCUUCUCUCUUUUUUUAGAGCAUCACAGGCUGCAAAAGCCGCUUUGCAGAGCGGCUGGGAAUCACAGGCAGCAGGAGUGUUUCUUGAGUUAACCCUGUGCUCAGAGAAGGCUUUUUGUUUCUCAGCAAAGCAUCAGGGUAUAAGUUACUUUGUUUUUCUGUUGUCAGCUUACCUGCAUACAGUUGGUAAUGUCACAGAACUCAGCACUUCUGUAAUCAAGAGGCAGAGUAAUAGCUAGAGCUUUAAUUUACGAUGUAGCCUUUUGGGGUACAGCCAUAACAAAACUCAUUUUAUACUGGUUGUAGCAUUGAACAGCAGAGAUCCCAGAAUCUUUUUACACCUGAUUUUGUUGCAAGUGAGAAUACAUUUGCUCCUUUUAUCUAGUAGCACACAUCAGUCCUACAGCUGAGCUUCUCCCAGCCUCACUGAUGGUACUUGCUGUGCACAGAAGGGGUGCAGGAGGGCUGGGUUGUGCUGUGCAUACAGAGCUCUGCAGGAAACAUUUGAGCAGGAUUAACAGUCUGAAUAAGGCACGAAAAGCAAGCUUCCAGAUAAAACUUGGAGGCUCAGCACAACCUGCACUGAAGCUACUGGGCAUUUUGCAUGUUUGGGAUCAACUGAACCCAACUUAAUUUUUUCUUUACAUACUGUGCACAGCUGUGCAUGGAGGUGGGUAGUAAUGCGGGUAGAGUUAGCUAUGAAUUCCCUGAUUCCAAGUUCAACAGCAGCGUCCUUUCAUUGUUGUCCAAACAAUAUCCAAAUCUCACUCUAUGCUCUCCUUAGUCAGUAGAGUAGAAAAAAAUAACCAAACCACCUGCUCCUAUGUUGUAAGAACUGACUGUUCACGUUUAAAGAAUCUCAAGUGCUAAAUAUAAUAUUUGCAGUUCUGCAUCUCAGCUAUUGGCAGAUUCAAUAGCUUUUGAAUACCACUGAUCUCUUGGGAUGCUGGCCAGGGAAGACUUCAUUUAGUUUGUGUGGGAGCAGGAUACAUAGCACUUCCAGAAAUGGCUCUUCUAGAUUUCUCCUAAGUUCUCCACCUGUAUAAAGGAGACGAUCUAUUCCUAAAUGGGUAUAGAAUUACAACCAUCCUUCCAGGGAUCGCAGUCGUGUCAGUUCUUCAAAAUCUUCUUAUUAAUCUUUCGUAAGUAAGCAUGUUGUGCUAGCAAACUGGGGAAGUUAAUUGAGUUAAUUUGUAGUGGCAUUGACUGGUGCAUCACUGGUAUGGAUAAUGUAUGCAGUUUCUCUUCCAGAAUGUUUUUUUUUUUUCCUAGUUCAAGGAAAGUAAGCAUGUUGUCCUAUUGAUUCCAGAAGUGCUUUGUGAAAUGUCUUCUUUCUCCACAAAAAUUGUGCAAGGACGGAUUUUUGUCAUGAAGUUUUAAUGAGAUGUUUAGAAUGAAACACAAGGGAAAUACUAACAAACAAGGGGUUUAACAAACAAGGUCUGGAUUAAUGGAUAUAACAUGAUGUUAUCACCUCCAGCUGCCUACUUGGCAUCUGCCAGAAGCCACUGCCGUGCUGGCAGGGACAGCAGGGCUGCAGGAGCCCAACCAUCAGCUGUCCCAAAUCACCUCUUUUGGGGUCACGCUGUGAACUGGGACACUUUUGUCCUGGUGAAGGCUGACUGUACAGCAGAGGAGGGAGCAUGUGAGGAGCAUGGAUAAAACUUCAUCUUAUAGAGCCCUUCCAGAUCAUUAAAUCUCUGCACUAUGUGCUAUAAGAAGAGGGCCCCAAGAGACUGAUAUGAAUUGAAGGGAUUUGAGAGAUCCUUUUCUAGCUUUGACCCCAUUUUUCAAUACCUCUCUUCAUCACAAGAGCGACGUUACUCGUGCUUCCUGUUGCUGCUGUUUGAUAGAGUGCAGAGGACUUCAAGUGGCGCUGGAGCUGGGACCCAGGCUUCAAGUGCUAUUUCAAAACUCAAAUACAUCAGUUUUCUUUGAGAAGCAAGGAUAGGGAAGGAUUGGUGUUGCAGAGUGGAAACACUUGGAUGGGGCAGUUUCUGAGUUGCUAUGGAGAUAGUAUGUCCUGCUGUGCUCUGUUGUAACGGACAUGGAAAUACAAUGGGUUAUAACCCAUUCCACUGUCGAUUUAUGAGAGUUUUGGACUAGUUACUCCAGAGCGUGUUCUUCUCCCCCACAGCUAUAGUCACUUGUUGUCAACAAGUGUUCUGUAACUCUUCCUGUAUUUUACUCCUGGGAAUAGAACAGAAUUAGGCCCUUAAAUCCAAUAAAUAUGGCAGUGGGAUAAGUUUCCUUUCUUUGAUUUUUUUUUUCUUUUGCAUUUUCUUUGCCUUUUACUCUAGAUUUGAAGCUGUGGCUCUGGCCUUACAGUUGUAGGUAGUUUGGGUCAUUUCUGCUUACUCUUAGCUUUCUGGCUCACCCCUAUUUCACUCCUGGGAGGUGAGAACAGUGUGAAAUCCAAACCCACUUUAACCAAGGGCUCAGUCACUGGAAGUGUCCUCACACACAUUUCCCUCCAUUUCUUUUAUGUCAGCAUUUAUAGCUGUGUACCCCGUAGCAAAUUAGACCAGCUUGUAAACUAAUUGCUUUAUCUUACUGUGUUUGAAAAAGAGUGGUUUUCAGUGGAAUUGGUUCCUCGAGCUAGCUCACAUGUGAUGUGGGGAGGGUGAGACACAUCCUGUGACAGAGCAAGCUUCCAUCAAUGUAACAUCAUUAAGUAAUGACAGCUAAAUAUCGGUUUUAAUAAUUAUUUUCUUCUGUAGAUAAAAUAUUAGCUGUCUAACCCCUUCCCCUUUAAAUUGUCUUUUGGGGAAGAAACAUUAGACAUUGGCCUUCUCUACAGAGAAAGUAUCUACUCAGAUGAUGGGAAAAAUCAUAAAUAAUUCCAGCCCAACAUGCAGAAUGAAUAAAGCAUGCUUGAACAGCUCUGUUCAAAUCUAUUGUUAAUUCUGUGUCCCCAUUAGGAGUGCAGCUGCAUCAGGCUCUGCUGCCAGCCCGUGGAUUCACAUCUUUGCUGGUCAGGAAGCUCCCAACCUUCAUUAAAAUGCACUUGUGUCUAUGGAUGGGAAGCCCGAGGUGUGGCAGCCUGCAGGACCUGGAGUGGCUGUUCACAAUGAGAAUGCCGGAGCCUUGUCAUAUUUGGAGGGUUUGUUUGGUUUUGUUUGCUGGCUUAGUUCUGUCAGAGUUUUGAAGAGCCUGAACCUGACCGCUCCUAGCAGGACAAGUUUGGUUGCUUAGUGCUUUCCUGAAACCUGGCUCCAGAUGCUUGUGACGUGCUUUCAGUAGUGCUCAUUUGCUCUUGUUAGGUAUUUUGUGAGUUCGUUUGGGGCUUUCUGAGGCCAAAUCAUCACAGAGGCAGUGACGUGAUCAGAUGUUUAAUAUGCUUUUCUGCCUGCUGUGAAUUCUUCCGAUUCUUUUUCUCAAGCUUUGCUGCUUGUGCUUUUUUUUUUUUUUAAUUACAUUGUUCUCCUCCACACGACACAUCAUGUUUUCUACAUCGUAUUUUCUUCAUUUUGGUGAAAAUUAACAUAAUGUAUCUAAAAAGGUGCAUUUGUAUUCAUUUCUGCCAUCUAAAGACCAGUGUGCAAGGUCUGUAGUUGGGAAGCAGUUGAAGUGGGAUGUAAAAAUACACAUGGGCAAGGAAAUGCCCAGAUUUCCUUGUCUAGAGCAGGCUUAGUGCCUUGGCUCACUGUGUGCUGCAGCAGGCAGCUGGAGGGGUGUAGAAUGAGGACAGUGGAGGAGAACAUUUCUUUCAGCGUACAAAUCUUUCCUGGGGAAAAAAAAGAAAAGAUGUUAAUGUGUUUGAAAUAGUAAUACGUGCUUCUAAAUAGCCUAGAAGCAUCACACUGAGUUAGAGAUGAGAAGGCAAGAGAGAUACCGAUGGUUUUCAUUUUGAGGACUUAAUACUGCACUUAUGAACUUUUAUAGCUGUUCCACCUGAAUUUGUGAUGGUUAGAUUAUCCCUUGGCUUUAACCCAGUGCAGAAUAUUUUUAAUAUUCACUGCUGUACAGUUCAGCAACUAUAAUAAAAUAAUUACAGAUGCCAUUAGCUGAGUUAUUGUCCCUAUCUGGGUGUAUUUCAAUGGAUAAUAACCUAAUAAAAUUAGCACUUAACUUCUCUGCUCAGAAAUGAACAUGAAACGAAAGCUUAUUUAACUGGUCUUACUUAACAGGAUCUGAAAAUUCAGAACUUAUUUUCCUAAAUUUCAAUGCUCAGUGGCAUUCAGAUGAGGACACAUUUGAAAAAUAGAAGAGAAUCUCCAUGUUUACAGACCAUGCAUGGGAAAAGAGAACUGAGCGGCAAAGCCCUCAUCUCCAGCUCCACAAGUGGUGCAGAAAACACAUCGAGUUGUCUUCAUGUCUCCUUGGUGAAUGGCGUGUGAUUGUGCCUGCCAUGUGAACAGCAGGCAUGGUCACACGAGUGGCAGGUAAAAAGAGGGAGGUCUCUGUCUGAAAGCAUUUGCUCUCCUUCCCUAAAGCUUGUCUUUGAGAGAGGCUUCCGGAUCCAGAAGGAUUGGGAAGGCAAUAAAUCCAAAGUGAUUUUGAUUGGGAAGGAGCAACAAUGGAAAAGAAUGAAUUGGAUGACAAAGUGAUUGUUAGUGUUCACCUUCAGUGUCUGUUAAUUCUUCUGCACUGAUUUUCCCUGGGGUGUUAUUAGUUGGAGGACUAGAAUUGGGGAGGAAGUGAAAAGAGGAGAUUUCCAUUCCUCUCUGGGCUUCUUUGCAUCCUUCCCAUUAGCUGUGCCCAUGUUGCUGGCAGGCUCCAGGCCAGAGGUGCUGAUGGCCAGCCCUCACACUCACCUCUGAUCUUUAAAAUUGUAUCUUUGUUUUACAUGGUGUAAGUCAUAGAAUUUCCAAUAAAUAACUCUUUAAUGUGAAGCCACUGACAGCAGAGAUUUGUGCUGCAGUGCAUUUGAACCAGUUUCAAAUUCAUAUUGUAUUUCUCAGAUAGGUUUGAGAACAGCACUGUAACCCAGACACGUCCCAGCAGCUGCAGAGCUGUGAGCUCCCAUCAGGCAUUCCCUCCAGACACUGCUGGGGCAGUCGGAUGCUGUCUCACCUCACCCAGUUGUCUGAGCCUUCACAUCCUUCACCCAUACACACCAUACAAUGUCAAAGCGUUUCAUUCACAUGGCAUCCCCUGGGGAUGGGAAUUGUGACAGUGAACCCAGCAGUGCAGCAGGUGAAAAAUACCUGCACAGGCUGUACC